rnacentral:sRNA from 1 species
AAGGACGUCGCGCAGGAAGCGCCAAGGUCGAACACGGAUACGUCGGAACCCGCUACGGAUUGGCGGCGGAUCAAGGAAGUCGAAAUCAAUCAACCCCGCUUCGGCGGGGUUUU